GUGGGGAAUAUUGGGCAAUGGGCGAAAGCCUGACCCAGCAACGCCGCGUGAGGGAAGAAGGUUUUCGGAUUGUAAACCUCUGUCCUUGGUGACGAAGGAAGUGACGGUAGCCAAGGAGGAAGCCCCGGCUAACUACGUGCCAGCAGCCGCGGUAAUACGUAGGGGGCGAGCGUUGUCCGGAAUGACUGGGCGUAAAGGGCGUGUAGGCGGCCGAUUAAGUCUGGAGUGAAAGUCCUGCUUUCAAGGUGGGAAUUGCUUUGGAGACUGGUUGGCUUGAGUGCGGAAGAGGUAAGUGGAAUUCCCAGUGUAGCGGUGAAAUGCGUAGAGAUUGGGAGGAACACCAGUGGCGAAGGCGACUUACUGGGCCGUAACUGACGCUGAGGCGCGAAAGCGUGGGGAGCGAACAGGAUUAGAUACCCGUGUAGUCC
rnacentral:rRNA from 1 species